CUUGGCUAGUGGCGUAUUGAAGCAGAUCUGAAGUUUACGCCCAUUUAAUAAAGCCCCGUGUAUGUCCAGCUACUGCUUUGUAAAGACAACAUCCCACCCCAACUGGAUGAAUUGCAAAGGUACCAAGAUCUCAUUUAGAAAUCCUCACUAUUUUCAUGUGAUUUGAGAAAGGAUUGUAUUUAAAUGGCGUUUUGGCAUUUGGAGGGAAACAGACACGCCCUGUCGGGUGAAAUCUCAGGGAUGAUCAGUGAACAAAAACACUGUCACCAAGUAAGUAAACAGUGACAAGUUUAUAAGAUGCUGUUGGCAGUAGCUGGAUUUCUCAGCGCUGAACACUUGAGCUGGGCAUGGUGGGAGCGGCUGGUUAGCCAUUUGUCAGGCAAAGUCAAAACAGCCCUCCAGCUACAGCACAGACGGCAGUCUGCAGCUCGUCAGCAUUUUAUUUAUGACUCUUAAUUAGCAAGCAAAAAAGGAGGGAAGAAGUUCCCAGUUUGGGAUAUACAUACUUAUACAUACAUAUUUUGCCCAGAAAUUAUCUUUGUCAAAAUAAUUUAAAUCCUUACAACCCUGGGAUGUAGAUAUUAUAAUUUACAUUUUAUAGACAGGAAAUUCCAUCCUGCAAGGUUUUUGUUUUUUAAGUCCUGUGAAAUCCAAAGGACAAAGUGUGUCUAUUUAUUCUCAAGGAUUCCAAGCCUCACUAAAGGAUGAACUGGAAGGCCACAGCUUCCAAACCCUCUGAGGAGGUGUGGUUGGCAUUGUGGAGAUGGCCAGUAUUUCUGGUUCUCUCCUCCUGCAGGGACAUGAAAAGAUCGCACUUCUCCAUCCCCCUGAAGUAUGAAUUUAAAUCGACUGACAAGAGAAGGAAAGAUCAGCAGCAACUCCUCUGGCACAGUCAGUCAGAGCAUCUCCAUGUAGUCAAACGGUAAAGCAAAAUUAUUCAGAGCUGUGUGAUGGAAGCUGCAGGCACCUGGCAGUACCAACGACUUAAUCAUAAUGAUUAGGGGAGAAAUAUGGUUAUUAAUAGCCUGAUAAAUGCAUUCAUUUUUCAGAAUCCCCUUAUGGAGAGAAAUGACAGAAUAAAACUCAAAUUAACAGACAAAGGCCCCCAUUCCACUGUUCCACACACCCGCAGCUCCUCCUGACUUCAGUGGGUGUUCUGGGCACAGAGAAAGAACAGGAGCAGGAUAUUGAUCUAUUUCUAGUAUUCGAAAGAAUUCUUCUCUCUGUAUAUUUCAAGGCAGCCAAGAUCCUAAUGUUACAGCAGUGCUACAUUCUGUGCUCACCUUAACAGAUCCAAGUAACAGCACUGAGAUGCAAUAGACACUCUUUUCCCAAACUAAAGAAAAACAGAGUUCUCUCAGGUGUGGGGUGGGAGGUGCUGGGGAGGUGGUUUGAUAAAAAGAGAGAAAAAUGGGAAUGGAAAAGUUGCUCUUCAGCUACCGCAGCUUUUCACCAAGCUGUUCUUAUCACACAUUCACACUUUCAGGUAUCGUUCAACAACCUAAUGUACCUCUACUAUGUCCAGCACUGUGCUAGGCUCUAGGAAUAAGAAGUCCAUUAAGACUUGUACCCUGCCAUCAAAAACUCUACUUAGGUUGUCUCUCUAAUUUUUCUUUACACCACAUCUUGGGUAGUGCUUGAUAGAUGUUUCCUACUGAUGACAAUUAUAAUGAUAGUAUUGACAAUGAUGACAACAAAAAACACAGCUGUCCACAAGUCUAAGUGGCAAACAUUAAAAGAGUUGUCCCAAAGAAACUUUCAUUCAUCCAAAAAGUAAUUAUGGAGCAACUAUUUUGUAGUUGAGAUGUUGCUCUGGGCUCCGUGAGAGGUAUAGAAAAGGCUUCCACUCCCAGGAAGGCCUGGUGAUCUUACAAGCUCACUCUGGAAUGGCUAAAAAUUCCCACGUUGGCCUUUGGUUUCUCCAGACCUCAGAAAUGACUGAUGGACAGUCAAUUUGGCCCCGCUGCCUCAGUUUCCAUUACACCUGUAGGACAGGUUGAAAAUUGGCCCAUGGAAGUAGCAUAUGGGACAAAUAACAAUAAAGUUAAGUAAAUUCCACUCAUUCUCUGGGCAGCAAUACCAGGGAAAGCACUGGACAUCCCGCAUUUUCAAGGCCAUGCAUUCAAGACAAGUUUACUUCUGUGCCCACAGCAGGACAGCAGCACAUGAAAGCCACAUGAGCUUAUGCUUGCAAGUUAUCUUCAACAGCACAAGGCCUUAAGAAAGAUAUGCCUGUAUGGGAAAUCACCUGACUGUGCCAUUAAUUGAAACAACCCAUUUCAUUUCAAAGUGUCAGUGAGCAUUGUAUGGGCAAAGCAUUGCAGGGUGAAGUGACAAGAAUGUGGAUUAUUUCCCAGAUUUUUUCUAGGAGCAAAUAGCAAUCACUGGCUAUGGGAUGGAUUAUUUGCAGAUGCACAUGGCUUCUUCUGCCCCAAGAAGAAGGACAACACCCCCGCCCACCUCCCCACCCUUGUUUUUCCUCAGCUUCCACCCCACCCCCAAUGCCACAUCCUUGCAAAGACAUCUGCUUUUCUGGAUUCCCGGAGAGUCCACCUCAUGCAAACUUCCCAGCAUCUUUAGCCAUGCCCUGGAUUCUACAUCUGAUUCACUUUUCCUGUUCCAGAUAAGCACUGCAUCUUCACAUUUGCUAUUGUGAUCACUGUUGAACCACAAAGACAAGGAUGGAUGAGGAUAAAGAUACGCUUCUCUGCACAACAUACAGAAGGAAUGGUCCUGGAUUAAAUCAGGGUUCUUAACCUCAAUAAUAAGGAAAAGCACAUGGAUCUCUGCUGACUGAGAUCAGAACCUUAGCAAGCCUCUUCUCUCAAUAAAACACAGAGAACAAGGAAAGAAAUUGAUAUUUAACGAAUACUUACUAUUUGCCUGGCCCUCUGUUAGGUGCUUAAUAUUAUCUUUUUAUCUUUAUAUCAUUAUGGCAAGUUUGGUAUUAUUAUUCUCAAUAAAUCCUAAAAAACAUUCCAGAGGCUGAAAGAAGGUAAAGAACUUGUCCAAGGUCCCCCAACUAGUAAGUGAAAGAACUGAGCUUUGAGCCCAAGUCUGUCUGAUGCCAUUGCUGUCACUACAUCCCUUAGUCUUUCAUGCUGAAAAUGUACAAAGAGGGGUCAUGAAGGUGAGAGACCCUCCCCCGGGAUCAUAGUUUACAAAGUCAACAAGUCAUACUUAUCUCUCCUAUAAACCUGACACAGGAGCAAAUGGAUUCUAACCCCUUAGAUGAUCUAAAUACAUUUGUGAUUUUCAUUAAAGCAAAAUAGCAAUUAUGUACUUGAAAUAUUUAUAAAAUAAGUCAACUACAUUUGAGGGAAAAUGUAAAAGCAUUGCAAUUAAACAGAUCUGCACACACUGCAGGGUGUUUUUCUAACAAAAGGAGUAAGGAAUAAUGCUGCUAAUAAAAACAAUGAUGAUCUUGUUUAAAUGUUCUAAUAACUCAUUCAGCACUGUUCUGAGUGGAACUGUAUAUUAGUAAUUUCAAAUAAAGUCUUUGAUGAAAGAUUAAAUAUAUCUUCUGCUCAUUCUCCUCUGCAAAGCUAGUGAUUCAAGUGGCUAAUUUGUUCCCUUUCUUCUGGUAAAAUGUUUUAAGUAAUCUAUAAAUGUUUUUCUCCUUCUAUUCAUAUUGUAAGAGGAACCAAGUGAAUAAUAAUGACUAAAAAUAGUGAGUUAUACUGAUGCAUUGGAACAUAAUUGGUGCUCCC
rnacentral:lncRNA from 1 species